rnacentral:rRNA from 1 species
ACGGGGAGGAGCCCAGAGCCUGAAUCAGUGUGUGUGUUAGUGGAAGCGUCUGGAAAGGCGCGCGAUACAGGGUGACAGCCCCGUACACAAAAAUGCACACAUUGUGAGCUCGAUGAGUAGGGCGGGACACGUGGUAUCCUGUCUGAAUAUGGGGGGACCAUCCUCCAAGGCUAAAUACUCCUGACUGACCGAUAGUGAACCAGUACCGUGAGGGAAAGGCGAAAAGAACCCCGGCGAGGGGAGUGAAAAAGAACCUGAAACCGUGUACGUACAAGCAGUGGGAGCCUCUUAAUGGGGUGACUGCGUACCUUUUGUAUAAUGGGUCAGCGACUUAUAUUCUGUAGCAAGGUUAACCGAAUAGGGGAGCCGAAGGGAAACCGAGUCUUAACUGGGCGUUAAGUUGCAGGGUAUAGACCCGAAACCCGGUGAUCUAGCCAUGGGCAGGUUGAAGGUUGGGUAACACUAACUGGAGGACCGAACCGACUAAUGUUGAAAAAUUAGCGGAUGACUUGUGGCUGGGGGUGAAAGGCCAAUCAAACCGGGAGAUAGCUGGUUCUCCCCGAAAGCUAUUUAGGUAGCGCCUCGUGAAUUCAUCUCCGGGGGUAGAGCACUGUUUCGGCAAGGGGGUCAUCCCGACUUACCAACCCGAUGCAAACUGCGAAUACCGGAGAAUGUUAUCACGGGAGACACACGGCGGGUGCUAACGUCCGUCGUGAAGAGGGAAACAACCCAGACCGCCAGCUAAGGUCCCAAAGUCAUGGUUAAGUGGGAAACGAUGUGGGAAGGCCCAGACAGCCAGGAUGUUGGCUUAGAAGCAGCCAUCAUUUAAAGAAAGCGUAAUAGCUCACUGGUCGAGUCGGCCUGCGCGGAAGAUGUAACGGGGCUAAACCAUGCACCGAAGCUGCGGCAGCGACACUAUGUGUUGUUGGGUAGGGGAGCGUUCUGUAAGCC